GACGAACGCUGGCGGCGUGCUUAACACAUGCAAGUCGAACGGAAAGGCCCUGCUUUUGUUGGUUGCUCGAGUGGCGAACGGGGGAGUAAAACGCGUGUAACCCGCCCUUGAAAUUGGGAUAACUUCAGGGAACUGCGGCGAAUAUCGGAUAGGAGAUACUGAUGCAUGGUGGGGGUUGGUAAAUUUCGGCGGUUGUGGAUGGACUCGCGGCUUAUCGGCUUGUUGGUGGGGUAGUGGAUUACCAAGGCUUUGAAGGGUAGCCGGCCUGGGAGGGUGACCGGCCACAUUGGUCCUGAGGUACGGCCCAGUCUCCAACGGGAGGCAGCAGGGGGAAACAUUGCACAAUGGGCGGAAGCCAGAUGCAGCAGCGCCGCGUGCGGGAUGACGUCCUUCGAGUUGUAAACCGCUUUCGCCGGUGACGAGGCCUGAGUGACGGUAAUGGGUAAAGAAGCACCGGCUAACUACGUG
rnacentral:rRNA from 1 species